CGGCCAUCUUGAGCGUCGGCUGCCUCCCUGCGCCGCCGCCCGCCCCUUCCUGCGCCCGGCGGGCGGAGAGAGAGGAGGAACCGGCAGAAACAGCCGAGUCACGGGCCGGGCCCUGCGGGGCGAGGGGCUGCCGGGCGGGGGAGCCGUCCGCUGCGCUGCUCCCUGCCUUCCGUGUUUUUGGAAAGGCUUUGGUGUACAACGCAUACAGUAAGGAUGCUGCACGUGGAAUCCUUGCACUGCUAACCACUUCACAAUACUGCAAGGAACGAGCACUGCUCUGUCAAUACAACAUCCCAACAGCAGAGGACUGUGUGACCUUCAUCUACCAUUGAAGCAAUGCGAUGUCAGGUUCCUUUCUUAACUGUUAUGCUACAAGUGUGAACCUUGCUGAAGUUGCUAGUAUCUUGUUCAGACACAGAAGCCAGCACCAGGAGCUAAAAUGGUUGGUGUUCUAUGCAGACUUUGAAGUUGAAGAAACUAGAACCAGUUGAGGUCCAAAGACGUGCUCCUCCUUCCUGGUGUAUAUCAAGUGGUGGUACAGAGUACAUGAUCCUAGUAUGUUAUUCAGUUGUGUUCUCAGUACUUCAUUCAGAAGCCUUCUACCACUUCCUAUUGUCAGUUCCUAUAUAUUGUUCCUGUCUAUUGAAAGGUUUUAAUUUCAGGUAACUUAUAUUUGCCUUCAACAUUUAAUUCUGUUACCACUUAGUAAAUUCUGUUACCAGUGUUUACUCAUUAACAACAAAUUUCUGUAUUACAGCGUAGUCUGUCCCAGUGCUGCAUUGUUUAGAGAAGAGGGCUCUGGAAUGACCUUGCUUGUUAAGUAACAUUGCAAAGAUGACUGCUCUGAAUUUCAUAACCCAUUUUAAUCUUCAUCAGAGUAACGCUUCUAGGUCAUUAUUCUUUGUCCUGGAUUUUAAAUAUUCAGGAAUUUGUAGGAAUGAAAUAAUUACAUAAAUAUACACUGUGGCUUCAGUUGGUGUUAAAAUAUAUAUAAUAAGAGAAGAAACGGCAAGGAAGGCAGGAGUAAUCUGUUGUGCCACGUGAUGCUGUCUACUUUUCUUUGAUUCAAGCAGAGGAAGGAGGAGGCAUUCACAAAAGAAAACGGAAAUUCAUAAAGGGAAACUGACACCACUACUGGAGCCUACCAAUUGCAGUUUGCCACAGACAGGCCUGAAGUUCCAACAGCUUUUCUGAUGGUAAUGUUCAGAAGCAAUUUUUUUUACACCAACUUUUGGGGAUGUCUCACAUUUCUGAAGGAUGUCAACGGAUUGGCAUUGAUGGAAAUAAGACACUUGGCUUUAAAGGCAGGAGAGCAUAGAUUUGACAACACAGCAGUUCUAGAUAUCAGAGAUGUGUACAAUACUCAGAGUGUUUGUGUGGGUGUAUGUUUAUAUAAAAUGAAUACUUAUGAAUAUACAUAGUAUAGAUAUGUAUAAACACAAAAGCCCUUUGUGAUCUCAUGGUAGCAUUUCCUAGCACUCACUUUUGCACUUAUCUGGCUUUGUUUCUUAAACAAGAUAGAGAUCUUCUAACGCAGCAGCAUGAAAUGUAAGCAUUAGAACUAGGUAAGCAUCAGGAAAUAAAUAGAUGUUGGCCCUUCAUUUUUUUGAUAACGAACUAUCCUCACCUCAGCAACACGAGGUAUAGUCUACAUUGAUUGACACAUAAUGACUAGCUGUCAUUAUGUGGUCACUCCUGCUGUGCUAUGUGGAACGUAACACAUACAAGUUAUGCAAGAUAUGUAAGGGAAAACUCAGCUUCCAUGUGCUCCAUUAAUGGUUUGGUAAUUUGGAUGCAGAUUCACAAUCAACUGUUUCUUUUUCAUAAUGCCAUACACCAGAAAUAGAGAGAUUAGGUCAUGACGAUAAGGCCCGCGUAAAGCAUAUAUUGUCAAGUGGAUUUGUAUUAUAUACUCAGUGAAGGGAAAGGUUACGUGACACAGUGUGCCUCUGCUGCCUUCAGAAGAUUGAUAUAAUCCUUACCAGCUUUCUCAGGAAAGUGACCUAUUUUUUCCAGCUUCAUUUCACAUAAAGUUUACUCUGAUGUACCUAAAGUCUACAGAUAGCCUUUUCUAAAAUUUCAUUUCCAAACUCUUCCACCAAAUAUAAGUUCAAUACUAAUUAAAUGAUCAAAGCUACAUUUCUCAGAAGGAGGCAGCUUCCUUGUUGUGUAUUCUUUUACAUCCCCAACCCCAAAAAACGAGGAAGGCUUCUCUCUUCAUUCUGCUGGCCUGUUACUGAGCUGAUGGCACUUUAGCAGUGUCAUUGAAUCCACUGUUGCAUACAUAUUGAUUUGUUCUGGCAGAAAUAACUUGUGAACUCAUUUCUGUGCUAUUGAACCACCAAAUAUGGGAAACCAACAACCAUGUUAUAAAAUAAAUUAUCUAUAUUCUGUUCUUGAUUAUGUGUACAGAAUUCAACACAGUGUUGAUUUAAGGCUGUGUCAAUAUUUAAGUACAAUUUGACAAUAUGCUGAACAUCUUUAAUACACUGAACUUAACUUCUCCAUAUCUUGUAGCUAGAAAGCCUCAAUAGGCAUUUAAACUGUAAAAUACUUAACAUAAAGCACAAGUAUUAAUUACUUACUCACUGAAGAUAAAUUGACUUGAUUUUACCUCAGGCAUAUUAUAUUUGGCUCUAGCCUUAUGGUUUUAAGGAUAUGAAAUCUCCCUACAUAGAGAAAAGUCACUGCAUAAUCUAUUCCUAAAUAUUUCCAAAGCUAUUAGUUCUAAAUGUGUAAGAAAUCACUCACUUUUCUGGAUUUUAAAGCUUACUCAAGCAAUAAGAUCAAUAUAGAAAUAUAUCAAGGCAGUGUGCUUAGGUGUACUACGGACACCCGAGGCAAGGUCCUUGUAAUGAUGCUACUGCUUGAGCUGUGGGGGAAGAACACGGUCAGAUCAAUUAUAAAUACUCUCUACAGUUUAUUUUUUUUGUUUUGGGAAUUCUGUUUUAAAAAGACAUUAAAAAACACAUACAAAGAUAGAUGAAUGUUUCUGGGACCUUUCUGUCCAUACUAGCUGCGUUUCCUGGUAUAUCCUAGAAUUGAACAGAUUUUUCCUGGCAUUCCUUCCCCCAGAUUUUGUUGUUUUGUUCUGAAUAUGCAGUUUCUUCCUAUAAUUUACAGGGAUAAGAUUAAUUACCUCCUAAAUAGGAAUCCUUCCUCAAGCCUGUUUUCUCAAGCAGACCCCAUAGUUUCCCGGCUCCUGAUGCAGUGGCAGAGGGAAUGGAUGCAGGAGGUACCCAUUCUGGGCAGAUCCUGGAUGACAUCAUCACCCUUCAGAGAAGGCGGGAUUGCAUUCACAUUUAUAUGUGAGUUCUGCAGAGAUCAGGUUGUGGAAAUCAGUACAUGUGAACUUUAUAGCUCCAACUAAGAGCACAACUGGAUUCCUUUAUCACCAUCUAUCCAGCAAGAUUAGCCUUCAGCUCCCCAUAGUGGAUAAUGCAGGAGAGGCCUAGCAUUGAUUUUUAUUUUUAUUUUUUACCUUGGUGUAUUUUUAUCCACCAAGGUAAAAAUCCCCACUAUCUUUCCCUAGCAUAUGGAUGCUCUGUGUCAUCAGGACUUCCACUGCACUUCACAGGAUAUUGUGAGUUUGAGGAUUUGGGUAUACUAAAAAAGAAAGGCUCAUUAUGACAUUCAGUGCCUUUGGCUGAGAGUUUAUUAUGCAGCAAAAAAGUAUUUCUUUUGCCAAACAGAUGGGCUGGUGUGUGUAUGCACUUUUCUCAUAUACAGACUACUUUCUUUGUGUCAAAUUCUCAUACUGUUUUGGCUGUACAUUCAUAAGUCCUUGCAGACUUUUCAGGUGUCCAACUGCACUUCCAUCAGUCACGCUCAGUGGGUGGAGUUCUCACACUUCUGUGAGAAGUGUUUCUGUCCUCCACAGAACUCUCUGUAAUUGAAAGGAGGUGCCCAAAACCGAGAAGUUUUCUUCACCAGAAGCCAUUUGGAACCGUAGUGGAGUAGAAACAUUUCUUUGCUUUUCUUGUGCCUGACAGCCUUUUACUGUAUUUAACUAAUCACAUUUUUUUAACACCAAAUCUCUACUGACUCAUUUUCUUUUGUGCACUGCUAUGAAUGAAGUCUUCUUUUUAUGAAGUAACCGCUUAACCAGUUUGUCUCCAGCUUACAUUUCUGCAGUCAAUUAUUCCCAGCACUGUGUAAGCUUCUCACCUUACAGAAUUACUUUCUAUUUACUUCAGAACUCUGUUUCGACUUGUCAGGAUUUGUUCAAUUCUGUCUUCUGAAGAGCUUGCAGCUCUCACCGGAACGGGAUAUCCUCCAUAAAUACAAUAAAAAUAUUCUCUGUCAUAUUGCAUCACCUAAAAUCAGGCAGUUUGGGAUUCAGGACAAAAAUAUCAGGAGAUCUCACUUGUGAGAAACUUCUCCUUUGUAUGUGAAUCGUGUGACACUGCUCCUGAGUGCCAUUUUCUAACCAUUAUAUGUGAAUUUCACACAGCCCAUUCUCCUCUCACCUUCUUACGUGAAUAGUAGGUGGCUCAGCGGCAGAAACCUCACCGAAGACAAAAUCUCAUGAUCUGUUUUUGAUACA